CCGAAGAAGUCCACAACGGCCACGCCCCUCCUGGAGACUGGAGCCAUCGUCAUCGACGGCAGCACAAGCGCGCCGCCCCGCGCCGACGCCUAACCAGGAGUCCCGCCGUCCCGGGCGAGCAGCCUUCGACCCGUGGAUCCCACCAAAAAGUACGUCCAAGUGCCUCCCGCGGCGCCGCCCUCCCAAAGGCGUCGCCGCACGAGGCACCCCCGGCCCCGGCCGGCGGCAAAGUGAGGUGAGGUAUACUGAGAUGUUCUUAACUGCAGAGGAUGCAUUUGAGCAGGUUAGAGAAGAUGAGCUGCUGCAUCCUACUGUGUCCAGAUGAGCUUAUUUUACGACAAAUAAGUGAGGGCAAAGAUGAUCCUAUUUUGGGACAGAGCAAGUAUUUUAUAUCUCCAGUUAUCAAUCAGUGGUUCGGAUAUUAUUGAUUUGAGGAAAGGCUAUGUGAGGCAUGCUGCUUGUGAUGGGACACAUAUUAAGCUUAUACUCCACUACGACCCUUUUACACGUGCCAAGGUGUGGUCUGUGAUUGCGGACUGAUACUUUCGUGGCAUUCACACAUCUUAUAUGACGCAAAGAGUCAGGAAGCAAUGGAUUGCAUUUUUGAAGCCAUGCCUCCAGCCCACUACUACCAAAGCCACCACCGUCGCUCACCAACCCUACGGCGAAGCUCUUUCAAAGGCCCUGCAAAUGCAGUCUCUGCUCCAUUGUUCACCGGACAAGAGAACAGAGUGUAACAAGACAAGUGGUGCACUGAGUACCUCUGUCCCAAUUUGAUUGUAUUUGUAAAUUUUCAUGUCUAAUAUUUG